GACGAACGCUGGCGGCGUGGAUUAGGCAUGCAAGUCGAACGGUAGGAUACCUUCGGGUAUCUGAGAGUGGCGAACGGGUGAGUAACACGUAGGUGAUCUACCCUCAAGAUUGGGACAACCCAGGGAAACUUGGGCUAAUACCGGAUGAAAGCAGCAGUGAUGUUGUUUGAAAGGUGGCGUAAGCUGCCGUUUGGGGAUGAGCCUGCGCUCUAUUAGUUAGUUGGCGGGGUAAAGGCCCACCAAGGCGAUGAUAGAUAGGCGGCCUUAACGGGUGGUCGCCCACACUGGGAUUGAGAUACGGCCCAGACUCCUACGGGAGGCAGCAGUCGAGAAUAGUCUACAAUGGCCGAAAGGCUGAUAGUGCGGCGCCGCGUGAACGAAGAAGCCCUUCGGGGUGUAAAGUUCUUUUAUAUGUGAGCAGUGCUUUCUAUGUGAACAGCAUGGGGAGAGAGAUAUUAGCAUAUGAAUAAGCAACGGCUAACUCCGUGCCAGCACG
rnacentral:rRNA from 1 species